UUGGGGAAAGUCCAUGGCUCAGUGGCAAAGCAUUUGUUUUGAAUGCAGAAGGUCCCAAGUUCAAUCCUAUGCAUCUCUAAG